AACAUAUUGAAAUCUUUGGAAUUUUCAAUUCAAGACAUAAAGCAAUUACUAGCUUACGAUAAACAAAACAUUUCUGAAGAUUAUCUCCAAGGCCCUGAAAGGUCUGGCUGCUUCCUAUCUUUCCAGUCUCAUCUGGAAUGAUGCUUGCAGGAUUUCCAGCAUGUAAGAUGUGCCUUUCAUCUUCUGUCAUGAUUAUGAGGCCUCCCCAGCCACACAGAACUGUGAGUCCAUUAAAGGCUCUGUCUUCAUCAGCAGCGUGAAAAUGGACUAACACAGUAAAUUGGUACCAGUAGAGUGGGGAGCUGCUGAAAAGAUACCCAAAAAUGUGGAAGUGACUUUGAAACUGGGUAACAGGCAGGCAGAGGUAGGAACAGUUGGAGGGCUCAGAAAAAGAUAGGAAAAUGUGCGAAAGUUUGGAAAUCCCUAGAGACUUGUUGAAUGGCUUUGACCAAAAUGCUGAUAAUGAUAUGGACAAUGAAAUCUAGGCUGAGAUGCUGAGAUGGUCUCAGGUGGAGAUAAGGAACUUGUUGGGAACUGAAGCAAAGGUGACUCAUUAUAUUUUAGCAAAGUGACUGGUGGCAUUUUGUCCCUGCCCUUUUUUGAGAUUUGUCUGACUUUGAACUUGAGAGAGAGAACUUAGGGUAUCUGGCAGAAGAUAUUUCUAAGCAACAAAGCAUUCAAGUGGUGACUUGGGUGCUGUUAAAGGCAUUCAGUUUUAUAAGGGAAGCACAGCAUAAAAGUUUGAAAAAUUUGCAGCCUGACAAUGUAAUGUAAAAGAAAAUCCCAUUUUCUGAGGAGAAAUUCAAGCCGGCUGCAGAAAUUUGCAUAAGUAACAAGGAGCCAAAUGUUAAUCCCCAAGACACUAUGGGGAGAAUGUCUCCAGGGAAUAUCAGAGACCUUUACAACAGCCCCUCCCAUCACAAACCUGGAGGCCUGGGAGGCAAAAAUGGUUUCAUGGGCUGGGCCUAUGGUCCCUCUGCUGUGUACAGUCUAGGGACUUGGUGCCCUGCAUCUCUGCCACUCCAGCUGUGACUAAAAGGGGCCAAAGUACAGCUUGGGCCAUGGCUUCAGAGGGUGCAAGUCCCAAGGCUUGGCAGCUUCCAUGUGGUGUUGAGCCUGUGGGUGCACAAAAGUCAAGAAUUGAGGUUUGGGAACCUCCGCCUAGAUUUCAGAGGAUGUAUGGAAACGCCUGGAUGUCCAGGCAGACAUUUGUUGCAGGAGCAGACACUGAUGGAGAACCUCUGCUAGGGCAGUGCAGUAGGGAAAUGUGGGGUGGGCACCCCCACACAGAGUCCUCAUUGGGGCACUGCCUAGUGGAGCUGUGAGAAGAGGGCCGCCGUUCUCCAGAUCCCUGAAUGGUAGAUCCACCAACAGCUUGCACCCUGCACAUGGAAAAUCCACAGACCCUCCAUGCCAGCCCAUGAAAGCAGCCAGAAGAGAGGCUGUACCCCACAAAGCCAUAGAAGUGGAGCUGCCCAAGACCAUGGGAAUCUACCUCUUGCAACAGCAUGACCCAGAUGUGAGACAUAGAGUCAAAGGAGGCCAUUUUGGACCUUCAAGAUUUAACUGCCCUGCUGGAUUUCAGACUUGCAUGAGGCCUUUAGCCCCUUUGCUUUGGCCAAUUUCUUCCAUUUGGAAUAGCUGUAUUUACCCAAUGCCUCUACCCCCAUUUUAUCUAGGAAGUAACUAACUUGCUUUUGAUCUUACAGGCUCACAGGUGGAAGGGACUUGCUUUGUCUUAGAUAAGACUUUGGACUGUGGACUUUUGAGUUAAUACUGAAAUGAGUUAAGACUUUGGGGGACUGUUGGAAUGGCAUGAUUUGUUUUGAAAUGUGAAGAUAUGAGAUUUGGAAGGGGCCAAGUGUGGAAUCAUAGGGUUUGCCUGUGUCCUCACCCAAAUCUCAUCUUGAAUUGUAGCUCCCAUAAUUCCCUUGAGUUGUGGGAGGGACCAAGUGGGAGACAAUUGAAUCAAGGGGGUGGUUCCCCCAUACUGUUCUCAUGGUGGUGAAUAAGUCUCAUGAGAUCUGAUGGUUUUAUAAGGGGAAACCCCUUUCGCUUGGUUUUCAUUCUCUUCUCUUGUCUGCUGCCAUGUGAGAUGUGCCUUUCAUCUCCCACCAUGAUUGUGAGGCCUCUCCAGCCACAUGGAAUUGUAAGU
ensembl:lncRNA novel transcript, antisense to RP11-526A4.1